rnacentral:lncRNA from 1 species
UAGGAUCCUUUAAAUAAGGUUAGAAAUGUGCAAAAACAGGGCACGGUCCAAUAAAGUCGAAAAGAUCAUAAGCGACACCUGAUCCACGAAAGUCGAUGCUCAAGCGUCUAGGGAGACCACCCGGGCAGUGAGAGCACCCCAUGUAAGGCCCGAGCUUCGAGUUUGGCCGCCCAAGCUUCGAGACCCGCCGCCUAGGCGGCUAGGGUCACUACCUAGGCAGUGGAUAUCGAUUCUCCACGCUUAAGCUUUCCUUCUGGUCACCUGGGCUUCGUGCUUUCCCUCCUUCUGGUGCCUUUUUAAGCCCUUCUGAGCUCCAUCUUCUUGGUUCUUCAUCUCUGCUUCCUGCAUUAGCUCAUUCUGUCAAAACAAGGGGAAUUAGUCAUAAAAUCAUUGAAAAAGUAUGAGUCCAAGCAAGUUUCUAAGUGAAAAAGGGUGCUUUUAGUAACAAAAUCAAAUCACAAAUGACGGUGUUUUAAACCUUUAUAAAAGUCGUAACAAGUUUUUGGCGCCGUUGUGUAACGCCCCGACAACUUACAGGGAAUAUUAAC